GACGAACGCUGGCGGCGUGCUUAACACAUGCAAGUCGAACGGUGAACCAGGGCUUGCCCUGGGGAUCAGUGGCGAACGGGUGAGUAACACGUGGGCAACCUGCCCCUGACUCUGGGAUAACUUCGGGAAACCGAAGCUAAUACCGGAUACGACCUCUGACGGCAUCGUCGGAGGUGGAAAGUUUUUCGGUCAGGGAUGGGCCCGCGGCCUAUCAGCUUGUUGGUGGGGUAAUGGCCCACCAAGGCGCCGACGGGUAGCCGGCCUGAGAGGGCGACCGGCCACACUGGGACUGAGACACGGCCCAGACUCCUACGGGAGGCAGCAGUGGGGAAUAUUGCGCAAUGGGCGAAAGCCUGACGAAGCGACGCCGCGUGAGGGAUGAAGGCCUUCGGGUUGUAAACCUCUUUCAGCAGGGACGAAGCGAAAGUGACUGUACCUGCAGAAGAAGCACCGGCUAACUACGUGCCAGCAGCCGCCGUAA
rnacentral:rRNA from 1 species